rnacentral:rRNA from 1 species
UACGUAGGGGGCUAGCGUUGUCCGGAAUCAUUGGGCGUAAAGCGCGUGUAGGCGGUCCGGUAAGUCCGCUGUGAAAGUCGGGGGCUCAACCCUCGAAUGCCGGUGGAUACUGUCGGGCUAGAGUGCGGAAGAGGCGAGCGGAAUUCCUGGUGUAGCGGUGAAAUGCGCAGAUAUCAGGAGGAACACCAAUUGCGAAGGCAGCUCGCUGGGACGUAACUGACGCUGAGACGCGAAAGCGUGGGGAGCAAACAGG